ACAGGUGGUAGAAUCAAGAGUGAAGAGGAGCAGAAACAGACAUGAGCUAAAAGCCUGUCCUGCCCCUUGUUCCAUAUUCCAGGUGCUCUCCAAGUCCUUGGCGAGCUGUUUAGGUAGCAGGCUCUAUAAUGGCUUUCAAAGUAACGGGGCAGCGAUGCAGAGAGAGUGAAGAGACUUGCCAGACAGAAAAGGCGGACUUUGUCCUAACCUACGUUUCUGAAAACUCAGCCAGAAUGAAGAUGGGAGGCAGGCAGCACGGCUGAUGGGUCCCUUGGGAGCCAUAAACAUCCAAUUCAACCUUGUGUGCUCCUGGUCCUCACCCGAAAUGACCAGGCCAACUUUGUGGAAGGGGGGAAAAGGUCCGAACAGUUUUCACACCUCAGCCCAAGAGAUACUAAACUACAAAGAGCCAGUGUAAGCUGAGAUGGUUUCAAAUCCCAGUUGGCCGCUUAUGAGAUUCCCGCCUUGAGUAUGGACAAGAGUCACCCACUUCACAGGGAGGAGGGAUUAAGGGGGGAAGCCCUUGUGUAACACGGGCUCAAGGCGAACACUCAAAGACUCAA